GACGAACGCUGGCGGCGUGCUUAACACAUGCAAGUCGAACGGAAAGGCCCUGCUUUUGUGGGGUGCUCGAGUGGCGAACGGGUGAGUAACACGUGAGUAACCUGCCCUUGACUUUGGGAUAACUUCAGGAAACUGGGGCUAAUACCGGAUAGGAGCUCCUGCUGCAUGGUGGGGGUUGGAAAGUUUCGGCGGUUGGGGAUGGACUCGCGGCUUAUCAGCUUGUUGGUGGGGUAGUGGCUUACCAAGGCUUUGACGGGUAGCCGACCUGAGGGGGUGACCGGCCACAUUGGGACUGAGAUACGGCCCAGACUCCUACGGGAGGCAGCAGUGGGGAAUAUUGCACAAUGGGCGGAAGCCUGAUGCAGCAACGCCGCGUGCGGGAUGACGGCCUUCGGGUUGUAAACCGCUUUCGCCUGUGACGAAGCGUGAGUGACGGUAAUGGGUAAAGAAGCACCGGCUAACUACGUG
rnacentral:rRNA from 1 species